rnacentral:rRNA from 1 species
UUAAAGGAAUUGACGGGGACCCGCACAAGCAGCGGAGCGUGUGGUUAAUUCGUUGCUACACGAAGAACCUUACCUGGGUUUGACAUAUAGGUUGUAGGGAACUGAAAAGGGACCGACCUUCGGGAGCCUAUACAGGUGUUGCAUGGCUGUCGUCAGCUCGUGUCGUGAGAUGUUCGGUUAAGUCCGCUAACGAGCGCAACCCUCGUCGUAUGUUAUAUGUGUCAUACGAGACUGCCGGUAAAAAGCCGGAGGAAGGUGAGGAUGAUGUCAAAGUCAGCAUGGCCUUUAUGUCCUGGGCUACACACACGCUACAAUGGCCAGUACAAUUGGUAGCGAAGUCGCGAGGCGGAGCCAAUCCGUAAAAGCUGGCCUCAGUUCAGAUUGCAGGCUGCAACCCGCCUGCAUGAAGAUGGAGUUGCUAGUAACCGCAGGUCAGCAAUACUGCGGUGAAUACGUUCCCGGGCCUU